GUGGGGAAUCUUCCGCAAUGGACGAAAGUCUGACGGAGCAACGCCGCGUGAGUGAUGAAGGUCCUCGGAUUGUAAAGCUCUGUUAAUCGGGACGAAAGAGCCUAGUGUGAAUAAUGCUAGGAAGUGACGGUACCGGAAUAGAAAGCCACGGCUAACUACGUGCCAGCAGCCGCGGUAAUACGUAGGUGGCAAGCGUUGUCCGGAAUUAUUGGGCGUAAAGCGCGCGCAGGCGGAUCUGCCAGUCUGUCUUAAAAGUUCGGGGCUUAACCCCGUGAUGGGAUGGAAACUACAGAUCUAGAGUAUCGGAGAGGAAAGUGGAAUUCCUAGUGUAGCGGUGAAAUGCGUAGAUAUUAGGAAGAACACCAGUGGCGAAGGCGACUUUCUGGACGAAAACUGACGCUGAGGCGCGAAAGCCAGGGGAGCGAACGGGAUUAGAAACCCUUGUAGUCC
rnacentral:rRNA from 1 species